GGAAGUAAAAGUCGUAACAAGAUUUCCGUAGGUGAACCUGCGGAAGGAUCAUUAUUGUAUAACCGAGGUGCGAGGGCUGUCGCUGACCCGAAAGGUCGUGCACGCCCGAGUGCCCUCACACACAUCCAUCUCACCCCUAUGUGCACCACCGCGUGGGUCCCCCUUUGGCUUGUUCGGAGGGGGGCUUACGUUUUCACACAAACUUUGUAUGCAGUGUAGAAUGUAUUUUUGUUUUUGCGAUCACGCAAUCAAUACAACUUUCAACAACGGAUCUCUUGGCUCUC
rnacentral:misc_RNA from 1 species